GCGCGAAAACUCCGCAAUGCGCGAAAGCGCGACGGGGUCAUCCCGAGUGCCGUCCGCUGAGGGCGGCUUUUAUCUGGUUUAACUAGCCAAGUGAAUAAGGGGAGGGCAAGUCUGGUGUCAGCCGCCGCGGUAAUACCAGCUCCUCGAGUGGUUGGGACGAUUAUUGGGUCUAAAGCGUCCGUAGCCGGCCGGAAAAGUUCUCCGUUAAAUCCAACGAUCCAAUCGUUGGGCCGCGGGGAAUACUCUUCGGCUUGGGGGCGAGGGAGGUCGGCGGUAGUCUCGGGGUAGGGGCGAAAUCCUAUAAUCCCGAGAGGACCACCAGUGGCGAAGGCGGCCGACUAAAGCGCGCCCGACGGUGAGGGACGAAAGCUGGGGGAGCGAACGGGAUUAGAUACCCCGGUAGUCCCAGCUGUAAACGAUGCAGGCUAGGUGUUGGGACGGCCACGAGCUGUCCCAGUGCCGCAGGGAAGCCAUUAAGCCUGCCACCUGGGGAGUACGGUCGCAAGGCUGAAUUCUCUUUGAGUAAUCGCUCGAGAGACAGUUGACUU
rnacentral:rRNA from 1 species